ensembl:snRNA U6 U6 spliceosomal RNA
GUGCUUGCUUGUUGCUUCGGCAGCACAUAUACUAGAAUUGGAAUGAUGCAGAGGAGAUUUGCAUGGCCCUUGUACAAGGAUGACAUGCAAAUUCAUGAAGCAUUCCAUAUUUUU